GGCUGCAACUCGCCUGCAUGAAGUCGGAAUUGCUAGUAAUCGCGGAUCAGCAUGCCGCGGUGAAUACGUUCCCGGGCCUUGUACACACCGCCCGUCACACCAUGAGAGCCGGUAACACCCGAAGUCAGUAGUCUAACCGCAAGGGGGACGCUGCCGAAGGUGGGGCUGGUGAUUGGGGUGAAGUCGUAACAAGGUAAC
rnacentral:rRNA from 1 species